GAAUUUAAUAUAAUUAUUUAAAUAUAUUUGUAGAAAUUAAGAUAGGUAAUUAUAAUUUAAUUGGGAGGAUUAUUAAAUUUAAGUAACUUUAAAAUUAAUUAAAUUAUAAAUUAAUAUAUAAAAUUUUUUUGAAUGAUUAAUAAAUUAAAGUAGAAUUAAUUACCUUAGGGAUAACAGCGUAAUAUUUUUAUGAAGAUCUUAUUGAUAAAAAUGAUUGC
rnacentral:rRNA from 1 species